GACACGCUGGCGGCGCGCUUAACACAUGCAAGUCGUGCGGUGUCGAAGGCAAGUCUUACGACAAGCCUUCGACACAGCGGCGAACGGGUGAGUAACACGUGAGUAGCUGUCCUAAGGAGGGGGAUAACGCCUGGAAACGGGUGCUAAUACCCCAUAUGCCUCGCAAGAGGUGAAAGUGUACUUGCUACAGCCUUAGGGUGUGCUCGCGGCCUAUCAGCUAGUUGGUGAGGUAACGGCUCACCCAAGGCUAAGACGGGUAGCCGGGCCUGAGAGGGUGUACGGCCACACUGGAAUUGAGAUACGGUCCAGACUCCUACGGGAGGCAGCAGUGGGGAAUCUUGGGCAAUGGGCGGAAGCCUGACCCAGCGACGCCGCGUUGGGGAUGAAGCCCUUCGGGGCGUAAACCCAUGUUGUAGGGGACGAAGAAAGUGACGGUACCCUACGAGAAAGCCCCGGCCAACUACGUG
rnacentral:rRNA from 1 species